AGUGAACGCUGGCGGUAGGCCUAACACAUGCAAGUCGAACGGCGGCACAGUAAGAGCUUGCUCUUACGGGUGGCGAGUGGCGGACGGGUGAGGAAUACAUCGGAAUCUACUUUUUCGUGGGGGAUAACGUAGGGAAACUUACGCUAAUACCGCAUACGACCUACGGGUGAAAGCAGGGGAUCUUCGGACCUUGCGCGAUUGAAUGAGCCGAUGUCGGAUUAGCUAGUUGGCGGGGUAAAGGCCCACCAAGGCGACGAUCCGUAGCUGGUCUGAGAGGAUGAUCAGCCACACUGGAACUGAGACACGGACCAGACUCCUACGGGAGGCAGCAGUGGGGAAUAUUGGACAAUGGGCGCAAGCCUGAUCCAGCCAUACCGCGUGGGUGAAGAAGGCCUUCGGGUUGUAAAGCCCUUUUGUUGGGAAAGAAAAGCAGCAGGUUAAUACCCCGCUGUUCUGACGGUACCCAAAGAAUAAGCACCGGCUAACUUCGU
rnacentral:rRNA from 1 species